CUCUCCUUUCCCACUCCUCAGCCUUCACCCCUCGCCCCGACUCCUAUCUCUCUUCCUCCCGUCCCCCACGCCGCCCUGCUUCCUCUCCUCACGUCGCCGUCGACCACCCUCCCCGCCUACCGGCCAUCCUCUCCGCCCGCCGCCGUCGCAAACCAUCCUCCCCGUCCGCCGCCGCCUCGCUCUCGUGUCCACGCCCGCGCCCGCGAUUUCCCCCUCCCUGCUUUUGCCGCCGGCGCGCGUCCUCUCCGUCAGCCCCCUCUCGCCACCCCCGACACCCCUUCUCCUCUAGCGCCAGGAGGGAAGGACCCACUCCCUCGUCCAGUUCUUGACGGACGAGGGGGCCAUCCCAACACCCGAGGAGGAGGAAACGAGGGCGCAGGUCAUCCGCGAGCUCAAGAAGAUUGUGACGGAUUGGACCAAGGCGGUGGCCUGUGAGGAGAGGGUUCCCCCGAGGCGAGUGACGGCUGUGGUCCUGACCUAUGUUUCUUACACGUUAGGGGGUUUGGACAUCAAUGCUAUUCUCAAUUUUGUGGCUUUCGUACCGUUCUCUUGGGAAUGAUUGUUCUGUGUGAUCUAUCAUGGUUAUUCUCUUCAACAUCCAGUCCUAUGCUAGCAAGAGUGAUGACACAAGUGGACAUGCCAAGCAAAUAUGUCCUGCUUGGAUCAUAUAUGCUUCUGUAACAACACUGAUUCAGAUAUCAUUGAAGCUGCCUAAACAACAUGUGCUUUUGCGGAUACAGAUUGAUACCUCAUGUUAAUUGGCUGGUGGCAGUGGCGACGCAUCAAGGUGCAAGGCAGCGGCGGCAAGUUCAUACUACGGGAAAGGAAGAUCUCCUACUAUUUUUUAUGCUCCAUGGCAUAGACAUUUGAUUAAAUCAAAGGCAACAGGGCUAUCUGAUAUGUUAUCGGCGUCUAAAACCCAUCUUAAGUUUUGUAUCUCUUGAUUCGGUCAUUUACUCUGGUAAAAAGUGUUAAUGAUGGAGAAAUGGGUGAGUUAAAUAAUGCAAACCAGCAAACUAUAGAUGGAUUAGUUACGUGUGCAUCUAACCGAAGUUUGUAUAUCAUGAUGAUCAUCACUUCUAAGUGAAUACUGUCUAUUACCAGUCAAAUGUACCUAUCUAUUCUCUUUGCCUUUCACCUGCCUUUAUAUAAUGUCUGUCACCGGGUUAGUUAAAACGGACUGUAUGGGGUGCGGCUGGCAGUAGGUGUCUCGCCUCCUCUGAUUCACCCUGUUGCACCUCUUUUCCAUCCUCUGAUUCACCCUACUGUGCAGUAGGUGCCUCGCCUCCUCAGCACUCAACAAGAGCCAAGAAGAGAUGCUGAAACAAAUUCAAGAGGAUCGAGAUGUGCUUAUGUUCUACCAUUUUGCUUUCAAGAGGGGAAGAUAAAGAGGAGGCAUGGUGAAGAGGAGAAGUGGAAGAAGGCCAUCAACUAUGCACCUACCAGCUCUUCCUCGCCUGGGUACUACCGCACAUGCAUUUUCUGAUAAGCGAAAGAGGGAGGCAUGAUGGGCAAUAUAGCGCAGUGGAUGUCACUUUAUAAUAAGUUGGAUUUGUGGUAAGUUGAAUUAUGUUUCCUUUGUUUGCAUACAUCAUGUUUCAUUCUUAUAUAACCCAGCCACCCAGGUUGCUCUCUCUCUCCCUCUCUCUGAUGUCAACUUGAUUUCCUCAUUUUUUUUAGUACUGUAGGCUUUGCUUAUCAAAUUGCAAUUGUUUAUGGUGAUUUUUAUAAUAUAUGUUUCUAAUCUAAUCUCUUUGUGCUGAAUUAAUUGUUGUGGUCACAAGUUAAUCUUUUGGCAUGUCUUCACUGAAGGAGGCUUGUGGGUUUACCUUAAGCAUCUUAUCUUAAACAAUGGUCAACAUUAACUAUUCAGUUAGGCACCCAGUAGAGGUUUACCUAUCAUUGUAUCAAAGAGCUUACUGUUUCCAUUUGCUCAGCAAAGUUUUGAGAUAUUCCAUCAUAACUAUCUAAUUGUAAUGCUUUUAUGAUGCAGGACUAAUAUCUUGUGAUGUGGCUUUCUUGUAUCCCAUUUGCCCUGCUGCUCCUAAAAGAGAUACCAUUUUGUUGGUGUUUACUGGUUAAUCCUUUUGCAUAUUUUUAUGGAUGGAUACUCGAUGUGCUCGGUUCAUAUCGUUGCUGAUACUUGCCUUCUCUUGCUGAUUUCCCAAAUCAUGCACAUAGCUAUUUUAGUAUGGGUUAGGCAAUAUCCCUUUGUAAAAAAAAAUAUGUAUGUCACCUUUUGUAUGAGUGAAAUAUUCAUCAGCAUUGUAGUGGACAUAUGCUCUUUGUACUAAGUUUGAUGUUUUCUACUGAACCAUAUUUAGCUUGUAAUGGAUUUCGAUUCUUUGUACAAGACUAAUGCUUACCUGAGAAAUAGCGGAUGUUGGAUCAUUGCCUUAGACAGUCUUCCUCAUGUUUCUUUGAGAAAUCUUUUUUUGUACCACCUUCAUUGCAAUUCCUCAUGUGUCUUUGAGAAAUCUAAUGCUGGAUCAGUGGCUCAAUUUUUCCUUUUGUAUCUAUUUGGCGCCGCUCUACCUAUAUCUUUUUUUGUACCACCUUCAUUGCAAUUACGAGUACAACGUUUGGUCGGACAUAAGGUUGGACUGCUUUGAGUUGUUUACAUGGCUCGCUUUGAGUUGUUUUAAUUUUGAUGAAAAUGCCUGUUGGAUUGUUACAUUGUGAUGUUGUUCUUGCAUCUUUGAUUUGAUACCUUUAUUACCAGGUUGGAUACGACCGCACCCGGCAGGGGUGCGGGGGUGCGGCAAGCUCCAGGUUCAUCGCUCGCCAGGUUCCUCUUCGGUCAUCGCUACGCAUCUCAGCUCCGGUAACCAGGUCGCGGUGGCUGACGAUGACAACACGGCAGCGGCUGGUCCCCCUUCGAGCUCGCGCAUCUGAUCCGCCCAGAGGCGUCGCCAUUGAACGCAGGAGGGCCGUAUUGCAGCCAAAUUCAAGGACAGCCGCUGCUGUGGCCUGUGGAGUUGCAAGUGGAAGGUUGGGGUGGCGAUGGCAGCUGCAGCGGGACGGGCGGUGUCUGCAACAAGCAGUUCCUCAUCUUGGCAUCUGAUGAAAAUGAUCAUCUGGUGACGAACACCUCAUCCUUCUCUUCUUUGGCCCUCGCUUGAGUGAGAGUAGUGCCAGUGAUUCCCAAGCGAAGAACAGAAUCUAUGAUGUUCCACUGAGAGAAUACAGUUAAAGGUUCUUGAGGGCGGGUGCUGAUCUGGCGGGGAUCAAGGAGCUGGCCAGAACUACACCUACUAUUGCAUCAGCAUCCUUGCAAGCCCACCUCGAAGAGGAGCACCCCUCCGAGCCCCACCCCGCUGUUUGUACCCCUAGGUUGCUGCGUCGUCCUCGUCUUCGGCUUGCAAGGGAUUGGAUCCGGUGUGAUUGAUUCUUCCACUCGCAAGGUUAUGAUGGCCGACGAACAACUCCAAGUUCACGGGUCACCGGGCUUGCCGGGUGACGCUGGCUCCAACAGUUGUCUGCGAGGAUUUGCCCAGGGAGGCUGCGCGGUGCCGAGCGGAUGUACGGCGAGGUCUUCAUAAUGGCGUCAAGUUACCCUGCGAGCGGUGGUGGUCACCUCUGUGGCAGCUGCGCAAGUGGGCGGCGGUGCUGGUGACUCGAGGAGGACGACAAGGAGGUUCUGCCCGUCAGCCAUGGAGCCGCCGUCCGCCGAGGUGUCACCGCAGAGGAGCAGGUGGGCGGGGGGAAGCUCGCCUCGGUGUGCGCAGGUAAGCAGGGGUGCAAGUUGGCAGCUGUGGUGCAAGCUGAGCCCUACGACGGCUGGGGCGCGCGGUGCCCCCCGGCGACGGGGGAGACGGUGGCUGGGCGCGCAGUGCCCGCGGGCGACGGGGUGGAAGACGGGUUGAUUAGCAAGAGAAUUAAAAGGAUAAGGGUUUAUUUGCAAAAUUAUAAAUGAACUAAGCUGAGGACAAGUUUUCCCGGACGGAUAGAUUAUUUGAUACAUAUAAGUAUUGUGCUCAAGAAAACUUAUUUAUCUGCUGUUGCAUACUUCGAUAUCA